AAGCCUUCAACAUGCACCUGGCUGUCCGGCUGCUUAUCUUCACUCUGCAGACUGUUCUCUUCAUCAUAGUAACGUCCAUCGUCCUCAAAAGGACGUGCAUUUGCAAGAAAAAGAUGACGUUGUAGCCUCCAGACGUCGUGGCGGAGCCGAGACGUCCAGAGGAACCAGGC